CUCCCUCCGACGAGGCAGUGCACAACUGAACCAGAAUUUCCCUGCAAACUGUCUGCAGGACGUCAGUGUGAUGUAAUGUAAUAGGAACUUUGCCUUCAGCAGUGAAAACUCCUCUCACCAGCAGCCCGUCAAAAUGUCCACAACAUCCUGACAAGUUAGACCCUCAUGGGUGGUGGUUACAUUGUUACAAGAAAGAAAUUGUCACCAAAGAUCCAGCUGCACCAUCCUCAGCUGUGUAGCAGUGAUUGAUUUUGUUCUUCCUCCUCUUUUGCUUGACCUGGAUUAUGUUCUGUCUGCAGGCACAUACCACAGCUCGUCAGCAGUCACGGAUCCGAAAAGAAUGUACCAGAUUGCAUUUCAUGUCUAAAUUACAAGUCUGUUGGGCAAAUGGAAGAUGUCGGCAGCUUUUCUCAGGAGAGCUACAAAUAUUACUUCAGAAGAAGGAUGGCUCCUAACUUCAGGGAGUUCCUGUCCUUGAAUGUGUUGACAUCUGAAGGAUUUAUUCAGCGAGGAUUAAUAUGCUGCUCUAAACAUCCAUCUCUAAAUGUGACACGCCGGUAUAAAGAGGACAGUAUCAUUCAGGAAGAAUGCCGUGAUGUCACAGUUUGACAGUGCUUGAAGAUCUUGGCAGGUCCCCCUUUCUGCUACACAAACAGCCCUGAACUGUCAAGGUGUGGAUUCCUCGAGACCUCUGAAGGUGUGCUGUGGUAUCUGGCACCAAGCCAUCAGUAGCAGAUCCUUUAAGCCCUGUAAACUGCAAGGUGUGGCCUCCAUGGAUCAGACUUUCCAACACAUCCCACAGAAAGCUGUUUCAUUGCUCUGUACUGCAUAUACAUAGCUGUAAUGAC